UUCAACCUGUAGUGUACGAGUACCUGUUAUUUUGAACCUACAACUCACGAUUGGGAGACUGAAUAUGCGAAGAUAGAUGUCAGGCCGCAACAUAAUUCCCUUUGGGCAGCGGAAGGCAGAAGUCGGACUUGGUCACCCCCCUAGCAAAGCUAGGGCGUCAAAAUGGCAGGGACGGCAUUUUGGGUUUUCU
rnacentral:other from 1 species